UUUCUCAUUUGCAGCUGACUAUGUUUGUCACUUUCAGGCUUAGAGUUUUAACAUUUGGUAAAUUUUAACUAACAUAAAUUUAAGUUUGUUGAGAUGCAAUUCAACAUUAAGUGAUGUCAUUCAUUUUAUUUUUAAAGGAUUAUUUCAUUAUAGUAUGUAUUUCCUAUGGGGAGGGAAAUGUCGGUUACAUUUGUUAGGUUUUACAUAGCAUCUUUUAGGAGAGGUAAGUUUACAUUUUACACAACUGUGUUCACAUUCAUUACCAAUCAAAGCUAAGUGAGGCAACAAUCACAAAUCUCACAACCAGAAAAUUUGUUUUGCCAUGUUAGACAUAAAAUAUUGGAGAGUCAGUCUUUCUGUGUUUUUCCAUCUUUUCCCUGUCUCCGCAGUAAGACACCACGUAGUAGCUCUGAAAGAGGAGGUGCUUCUUUGGUAUCACGACUUGGAAGGGGCUGUUUGCAAGCUUGUUUGCUUCUGUGUUAUGUUCAUAAGCAGGAAAAUAUAAUUUAUUUCUGCAUAUCUGCUAUCCCGGACAAAUCAAGGUGACAAUCCGUGGUUAGCUCUGUCAGGCCCUUUGUCCUAGUGCUGCUGUGAAUGGAAGUACAAUGGGAGCAAAGUGAAUAUAUAACAGUCCAGCUGCCUUGUUGUGACAGCCCUGUCCCUCCAUAGCAGUGUGUCAGUUCAUGUUUGUGUACCAGUAGCCAGUUCUUAUGAUGACAAUGCAAAUUGUCUGCGAAGUCUCCUAGCAGAUAACAAAUUAAGCUGGGGCUCGAGGUACAGGGAGGAGAGGAAAGGGGAGCUUGGACACAUGUCUUAGAAACAUAAUGACCCGUAAAAGGUUGUAUUUUUGGUACAGUGAUUAUAUUCCAUCGCAGGACCGUUAUCCCAAUUUUGGCAAGUGUCUCAAAGAUGCAGAUUUCAAGAAGAAUGAUAGUGAAUAUGUUAGUGGAUGUCAUUCUUCAACACAACUUGUUUAUCUUACUCUUCCAAUCAGCUAUUAACAGAACAAAGAUGGGGCAGACACUGAAAGAAUUGGCAACCAAUAACCAGCCCAUCUUGAGACCCAUCCAAUGGUCAAGCACCAAUCUCUGACACUACUUAUAAUAUUCUGUUGAGAGCUGGGAGGAGACAAUCAUAACUGUCCUCUGAGAGGA